AUAUGUAUAUAUAAACAAAUAAUUGUCAAGAUAAAACAUUAAAGUUAAAACUGUCAAACUUGGUGCAUAAGAAAAUCGGACAAUUCAUUCUUAAUGAC